UACGUAGGGUGCAAGCGUUAAUCGGAAUUACUGGGCGUAAAGCGUGCGCAGGCGGUUUUGUAAGUCUGACGUGAAAAUCCCCGGGCUCAACCUGGGAAUUGCGUUGGAGACUGCAAGGCUAGAAUCUGGCAGAGGGGGGUAGAAUUCCACGUGUAGCAGUGAAAUGCGUAGAGAUGUGGAGGAACACCGAUGGCGAAGGGCAGCCCCCCUGGGGUCAA
rnacentral:rRNA from 1 species